UAAGUCAAUCUCGUAAGUAAUCAAUCUUGUGGAUGUGUUCCGUUAGCAGUGAAAUCCUAUUUUAUUUUCACCUGACAUUAUUUUUGAAGGAGCAAAAUAGAAUUCUUUCUGUUUUUAAAUGUGGAUUAUCAAGAGACAUGGCAAUCGUGCUCACACUAUUUUGUAAACACCGGAGUGGAGGAAGGAAAAAAAGGCGAAGAAAGUAUGAGAGGGUUCGAUUGGUUUCUAAAAAAUCUUUUUCAAUUUUCAAAAUUUCCCACCUCAAAUCUUUCCCCGUCGUGCCAGUUAUGCGAGAUAUCUGAUCCUUGUUAAUUGAGUGUAUCAAGCUAUAUUUGCAACAAAGAUUGAAGCGUCAUCCAACAGAGUUUUCACGUAGAGCUCAAACAGUACGUGCCUUCGGCAUGUUUUUCCUACAGACAUUUUAACCCUCAAAUCUUACAGUAACACUGAUAAGUAUGACUCCAAGGAAGCCUUUUCCUUACACUUCAACUAGUGUGCCACUCACAAAAAUAUCUGCUGUUUAUCUAUCAAAUGAUUUUAGAACGGCCAUCCUCGAGGAAUGAUCAAAGGACAGAAUGAUAUCAAAUACUCACUGGAACCGUUGCUUGCAUUCACUCCAAAUGCUGAAAAAAAUAUUGGCUACCACUCUCAGGAGUCAUCGUUGGAAAAAAAGGAGGUUGACUUGGUUUGUACUUAGCAGUUCGACUCUCUAGCAUUUGGCCAGGGCCGUAACCAGAAUUGCAAGGGGGAGACCGAAAGGGCAAUUUUUGACUUGGAUGUAAAAAGCUAGUUGCCAGGGGAAGCAAAGAAUGCCACCUAGGUAGAAGGGGAGAGUGCAACCCUUCAUCUUGGACCUUUUUGUAAACUAAACAAACAUGGUUGGACAAGUAGCAUCUAUUAUGUUUAUGGUAAAAUUUAAAAUUAAAGUAAUAAGUUUAAUGAACCACAAUGCUAUUCAUUAUAUAUAAUCUCAAAUGAUUACUUACCUAGCCAAAGCUUUUCAAGACACCAGGUCCCAUCAUCAAGGCUUACAUAAACAACACAUGUAAACUACAAAGCAACUACAAAACAACUAAAAUAAGCAAAUAAAAUAAGAAACUACAUGAUAAAAGCAAUUACAUUGCGAGAUCAGAAAAUAUUAAAUGUAUCAAAAUAAAUAAAAUAAAAUAAAAUAAUUCAUAUUAGAAAGUUAAGAUCAUCGAUAAGAGAAUGACUCGAGUAAACAAGUGGCAAAGCAUAAAACGGAAGCCACACAUAUACAAAGGAUAGUGAAAGCAAAUGCAUAUAGGCGAAAUGUCCAUGGUGAGAAAUGCUGUUUACGAAAGUGUCUUUAGGCCAAAAAUACGCAGGUCAAAAGUCUUAGGUGAAAUGUCCAAGGAGACAUAUCUCGUAGGAGACUAUUCUUUAGGUGAAGAGUCCCGGAAUCAUGAAAACAUUCAUCUUUCAAAAAUUGCAAAAACAAUUUUUUCUAAAAGAUUUGCUUUAAUUAUUCUUGACAUCAUGUAGAUCAUAAACGCAACUGAAUAUGUACAAGAUCCGUUUAAAAAUGAUGUGUUCCUCUUGAUUAAGUGAGCAAAUUCAGAUGAAAAAACCUGACUUCAGGAAAGCAACUUGAAAUAAAAAAGGGGGGGGGAUAUAUGUGUUUUAAGUUCUUUAUAGAUUAAGCCAA